GGUCAGUUCUCAUCAUACACCAAAGAAUACACACAGGAGAGAAGCCCCAUGUUUGUGGGGAGUGUGGGCGAGGCUUCAGUCGUAGGUCACAUCUCAUCAUACACCAAAGGAUACACACAGGAGAGAAGCCCCAUGUUUGUAGGGAAUGUGGGCGAGGCUUUAGUCAUAGGUCAAGUCUCAUCAAACACCAAAGGAUACACACAGGAGAGAAGCCCUAUGCUUGUGGGGCAUGUGGUCGAGGCUUCAGAGAUAGGUCAAGUCUCAUCAAACACCAGAGGACACAUUCAGGGGAGAAGCCCCAUGUUUGUAGGGAAUGUGGGCGAGGUUUUAGUCAGAGGUCAACUCUUAUCACACACCAGAGGACACAUACAGGAGAGAAGCCCCAUGUUUGUAGGGAAUGUGGGCAAGGCUUCAGUCAGAGGUCACAUCUCAUCAGACACCAAAGGAUACACACAGGAGAGAAGCCCCAUGUUUGUGGGGAGUGUGGGCGAGACUUCAGGGAUAGGUCAAGUCUCAUCACACACCAAAGGAUACACACAGGAGAGAAGCCCCAUGUUUGUGGGGAGU